UCCUGUAUGAUUUUUACUUAAUCCUCUUUCUCUGUGUCAGGAAUGAGACAUGUGUGCCGGGCUCAGAUGAGGCCUCUGGAGAUGCUGUGCAGGCUAGGUGCUGCGUGUUUUAUGGGCUGAGUGGAACAGCGUUCAUGCUGUGUUCACCCACCCACUUCAUUUCCAGUGGUCAGACUUUUAUGAGCCUGCAUUGAAAGUCCAAAGACUGUUGGCCUAUAGAUGCCGGAAGUUCACCUGCUCCUGCAUGAACAUGCUUUAGAAGUGUAUGUCAAGAGACUAUGACCUUUGGGUAGG
rnacentral:lncRNA from 1 species